rnacentral:rRNA from 1 species
CAAUAGCGUAUAUUAAAGUUGUUGCGGUUAAAAAGCUCGUAGUUGGAUUUCUGCUGAGGACGACCGGUCCGCCCUCUGGGUGAGUAUCUGGCUCGGCCUGGGCAUCUUCUUGGAGAACGUAGCUGCACUUGACUGUGUGGUGCGGUAUCCAGGACUUUUACUUUGAGGAAAUUAGAGUGUUUCAAGCAGGCGCAUGCCUUGAAUACAUUAGCAUGGAAUAAUAAGAUAGGACCUCGGUUCUAUUUUGUUGGUUUCUAGAGCUGAGGUAAUGAUUAAUAGGGAUAGUUGGGGGCAUUCGUAUUUAAUUGUCAGAGGUGAAAUUCUUGGAUUUGUUAAAGACGGGCUACUGCGAAAGCAUUUGCCAAGGAUGUUUUCAUUGA